GUCUUGGCAGUAAACGGUGCAUGUUUGGUGUGGGAGGUGACCCCUUCCGUGCCGGAGCUAACGCGUUAAACAUGCCGCCUGGGAAGUACGGUCGCAAGAUUAAAACUCAAAGAAAUUGACGGGGACCCGCACAAGCGGUGGAGUAUGUGGCUUAAUUCGAUGCAACGCGAAGAACCUUACCUGGGCUUGACAUGCAUUGUGUCUUCAGUGAAAGCUGAAUAGUGUAGAAAUACACGCUUUGCACAGGUGCUGCAUGGCUGUCGU
rnacentral:rRNA from 1 species